rnacentral:rRNA from 1 species
UACGAAGGGGGCUAGCGUUGUUCGGAUUUACUGGGCGUAAAGCGCGUGUAGGCGGGUCGUUAAGUUGGGGGUGAAAUCCCGAGGCUCAACCUCGGAACUGCCUUCAAAACUGGCGACCUGGAGCGUGAUAGAGGCGAGUGGAAUUCCGAGUGUAGAGGUGAAAUUCGUAGAUAUUCGGAGGAACACCAGUGGCGAAGGCGACUCGCUGGAUCAUUGCUGACGCUGAGAUGCGAAAGCGUGGGGAGCAAACAGG